AUCACUUGAUGCUGUAUGUCAGACUGAGCGCUACUUUAAGUUUAUAUGGAAGUGAACCUUCGGAAUGGAAAUCUCUUUUUCACACUUUUUUUACUCGUAAAUACAAAUUUGUAAAAAUUGACCAUUCGCAUUGAGCAUACUGUGAGAGCAGGAUGGGUGUGUUCUGUUGGUUUUUUUUUUUAGAUGAGGAUGGUAGCAGUCCAACCCCUAGAUCUGUAGCAUGACGCGUGGUGGCGGAGCUAAUAAACUUGAGCUCAAUAUCACCCAACAGAAAAUAUAGCCUACGUUGUGACAGCUUCAUUUGUUGGCUUAAAAUGUGACAAACUUUUUAGCGUGCCUUUUAUCGACUCAUUUUAUGUUAUCUUAUGAAAUAUUUUCGUUUAUGUUCCAAUCACUUCAACUUGACUUAAUUCAACUGACUGUCCGCAACUGACUGACUUUGACGAAUUCUCUUCAACUUUCUAGCUUUCUCUCUCACUAUCUCACCAACUCUCUGAUCUUCAACUAUCGAACAGUUCCAUUUGCAAAAUAGAAGAAAAAAGAAGAAAAAAAAAAACACCUAAAGAUUAAAAAAAAAAAAAGCUUAUCUAAUGGGAAGAACCAAUACAUCACUGCCAUAUAUCUCAAUACUGAUGGUUAAGCUCCCCUUUUCUAUAUGAAACAAAAUUAAUAAACUAUCACUAAUUGAUUAACUAUUCGUUUUUUGUUUUUUUUUAAAUUGUUUCGUGAUCCCGUAAUGGGAAGUUAGGAAAUAAAAAACAUUAUACAAAAUGAAAUAAAGAAAAUAACUCCACAUUUAUGGCUACAGCCAAAUCAGAACGGCUAAGCUAUUUUAAUGAAAAAGGAUACUGUAGAAAGUACAAUAAUAAAGAAUGUGUUAGAAAAUACAUAAAUUAAAUGCACGUUACUAAAAAUAACUUUGAUAGAAAAACCUUCCAAAUAACGUCAACACCUAAAUUCUAAAGCUGACACUGGAAAUAGUUUAAAUAAAAUGUUACAUAAAUCGUAUCUUCUGCGCCCACUCGAGUUACAAUGCUUGAGUAUAGCGCAACCACACAUGGGGAUUCUUGGGAAUAAAAGAAUAUUUGACACGUCCGGUUUUUAUAUAAAAACAUUGAAAUACCAGCAUUAGCAUGGAAAUAUUUUUAGUAUUUGUAGUGUAUUGUUGUUUAUUUUCUGCGUGCGUCCAGCGUGUCAGAAGGUCAUGUCCAGUGUGUGUGUGAUGUCCAGUGUGUGUGUUGAUAGUACUUCAUCAGUGUUAUGCGAGAUUUGCUGGUUUCAUUCUCUGUUUACU